UGUUUGAAACUCAAACAGAAAAUAAAAUUCAGAUGUCAUUCACGCCGUUAAGAAUUGCCUGAAAAUAACAUGGAGCCGGAAUGCACAGAAAAUAACAGAAAAUUCAGAUGUCAUGGAGCGGAAUGCACAGAAAAUAACAGAAAAUUCAGAUGUCAUGGAGUGGAGCCGUUGAGAGAAUGCUUGAAAAACCAAUUCAAAUUUCAUGGAGCGUAAUUGGAGUAAACCAUGGUAUUCAAACCAUGUAAACCACUGUAUUUCUCGUACACAGAGGGAUGGUAUUUAUUAGUCCUGUCAUUAUUUGUGCACAAGGGAGGCAGCCGCCAUUGUCUGUGUCGCAUUUGCAUGUUUAAGAUUAUAACCCUAACUUGUCAGACCAAUAAAUGUUUUUUUUAUGUUUUUCUUUGCUUUGUUCUGUCUUUCUGUUAUUUUUUAUUGUGUUUUUUUCUGUCGUUUCAAUAUUUCUUGUUUUUCCCUUUUGUUAAGAGUCUGUCUACAGUGUGCACACUAGUAUCUAUUGUUUUUUCUUUUCUUUUUUUCACAUUUUGUGUGGUAGAAGAUGAAGAGGAAAAGCAGAGAAGGUAGGAAUCAAGAAAUGGCAGCUGAUUGAGGGAAAAACUCUUCUUCGAGCCGGUCAUGGCACUGACAAUGGAUUCACUGGUGGGACCAUUUCUCAGAGGAGGCCUUGCUAAGCUCUUCAUGACUCCUUCUGAACCUGCUCACUGGUCAAUUUUGUGAAAGGGUUGAGGUUGGACUAGAUCAAAGGGAGAAUUAUCUUCAGCGCCUUCAGCAGGUUCAGCAGCAAGGACACAAUCCAGGUCUCUUGGGAGCUCAAUUGUCUCAUUUAUCAGUGGCCAACCAGAAGCAAUUUUUGUCUCAGCAACAACAAUCUGCAAUUUUGCAGCAGGUGAAUGUCACUAUUUUGUUGAGGGAAAAAGCUUGUGGAGUGGGACGUCUUACUUCUUGGUUUGUCCGUUGGUUGUCGUAACACAGAGAAGCUGCAAUCAUUGAAGUUGACAUGUUUGGUGAGGUUGACAUGAACGAUUACAAACAGGACCUGGGUGGCAGCAUGUUGGAGCGAAAAAACUGCAUGAUAAGAGGAUCCUAAAGUGAGCUAAGCAGCUAUAUGAAUUCGUCUUUUUCAGCAUGAUGUAUAAAAAAAGCAAGAGAUGAAAUUAUGCUUCAAUCAUUUAUGUAGUUAAAUUUUGGUCAAGCAUAUCGACUUGAUGCAUUGUAAUAUGUACAAAUAUAGUGCUUAAUAAAAAAAGAAGGGGUUAAAAACCCCUUCUAAGGACUCAAGGGAA